GAUGGAGGCAGAGGGGGAAGGUCGAGGCAGUGAGGACGAAGGGAGUGGCACGUGGAGUGAGGAAGAAACGUGUGCCUAUAUUUUUUGGUCACGGGAGAGGCACGUGAAUAUCUUUAGUCUCUCCAGUGUUAUCUGAAGUGGCUACUUCACGGGGGGGGGAGGCAAGGAGUGACGAGGACAUUGCAGUGUAUCCAGGUGAAGAGGCGAUACAGAUUUUCACUCGCCAGUUCCUUGUCAGUUUGAAUCUUACCAAGCAAGUGACAACAACAACGUCUGCCGAGAGAGAUAGAGGCAGGCACACGCACAUACACGCACGCACGCAAGGCUGAGACGUAAGCUGAACAGUGCGCAAGUUAUUUUCGGAAUGUGGCGCGUCUUGAGAGAGAACCGACCCGGACUGUUGAUCCUGUUGCUGGUGUUGAUGUCCAGCCUGGGGAGCUUGACAGUGGGCGCCACCAUGUGGAGCACCAGAGGCAUGGAUGACAACGCCCUUAUGCUCACACUGUUCGGCGCAAUCGUCCUCAUCUUCGUCAUCGCGGGGGUCGCAAUCACGAUGUGCGCAGAGCCAUUCAAUCGCCAGUCGCAAAACCUUCCCUUCUCGGAUCGCCCUCCUAAGUACAGAGAGACCUGGAGACGCCAGCACCUCGAGUCUUGCUCCCAGGCAACCGACACCAUUCCUGGAGCCGCCUCCUUGGACACGCAGAGGGAACGUAGCGACACUAAUUUCUCCCGGCUAGACGUAAGGAGCCUGUUUCACUCCUUGGCCAUCCCGGGGGUCCACCAGAGUUCCAGAAGAAACACGUCUGCCAGUGUGAUCAAUGAACACAUGAGGCAUGAGCUGGAAGUUAGCGGGAGACCCACAAGAGCCAACACCGCCCCGGCCUGUGACGAGGGACUGCCCACAUACGAGGAGGCGAUGCAUAGGUGAAAGUCUUGACUGUGGAGGUACCACUUACCUCUCUGCGUCCUCCCCCACCACUGUCUGUGCUCUGUCUGGCGAGGGAAUACAGAACCGUGGUCAAACCUGUCUUCUGUCGGCACGAACCCAGCCACGUGCAGGUGACAGUCAUUAUUCAUAAUCUUGUGUAGUCUGACGAAGGAGAUUUAGCGGCCGAACUAGAACAGUGACGUCUGUUGGCUGUUUUCUAUGGAGGUAGUGACGACUGUUAAAACAGGAAGCUAUGAAGAUAUACACAUAGUCGUCUGUAUAGCUUAUGUAACCUACCUGUGAUUCCUGACCUACGCUAUAAGUACUGCACCAUCUAUGUGAUUACACAUCCAUUCCAUUUCAUUCCAGUCCCGUCCAGUCUGGUCCAUUAUAAAGGGUCCAGAAAGCGUCUUAAAAGUGACGUUUUGGCAGAGAAUGGAUAGGUUUUUGCGUCCUGGAAGUAAUGAGGAGCCUGUAGGUUAGUGACAACUCUGCUACUCUUCACCACCAAGUCCUGGAGCAAAAAUGUAUUGAUAUCCGUGUUUUGGCAAAUAGAAUGAUCAAAUUCGUCCUUCAUGAAGCGUUCAGGAAGGCAGAACAAAGACUGGACCAUCAUUACCAUCACGUCCUCAUCCUUCCCUUAUCGCAUCACAACAUUGCAUCGCCUCUUGCCUCCAUGACAUCGUGCGUGGUGUGAAGACUGAUAUAAUGCGACCACGGGCUCCGGUGCUCACGUGAUUCUCAAAACUGUGUUCUUAAACGGUCCUGCGCCUCAUCUGGACAAUUUUCAGCAGGCUUUAAUGGAUGUAAAUGUGUUUUCUUAAGUGUUUUUUUUUUUUUUCAUGAUUCUAGUGAUCAUUUAACAUGGAUUCAUUAAAAUACCCGUGAGAGCCAAACUUAUCCUCUCCUUGGCCUUUGAAAAUAGUCUUGAUGGAAGUUCAAGGUGUUUAAGAAUACAAGAAUACAUUGUUAUGUUUCUAGUCAAUAUGUCUUUGAGAGAGAAGUGGCGCUCUCUCGUACUCCUUGCUGGCUCAUGUGAUUCUGUUGCGACGCCAUUAGCUGUCUUGUAGUGGAGAGAGAGAGAGAGAGAGAGAGAGAGAGAGAGAGAGAGAGAGAGAGAGAGAGAGAGGUGAAAUCAGUGUGGGGAAUAACAAAGCCACGCUGCUGUGUCCGGUGUGUGCUAGUUUUGUCGAGUUGUACUCUGUAGACUAUAAGCAUAUCAGUAACAUUUUGUAUUUACGAAUUAACAUAUGUAACUUAUUUAAACAUAGCAUUAUUUACCUUCAGAGAGAGAGAGAGAGAGAGAGAGAGAGAGAGAGAGAGAGAGAGAGAGAGAGAGAGAGCCUACAAGAAUACCCUCAAGGACAUGCAGACAGAAAAGGAAGUCUAACUACCUCACUCACCAUCAUGUGAUCGUGUCCUGCUUGUCAUGAGGUUCCUGGCGUCACGUGUGUGUGUGUGUGUGUGUGUGUGUGUGUGUGUGUGUGUGUGUGUGUGUGUUCAGCUAAUCACUCAACCCAGACGACUUCCUUCUAAACGUAAGCAUUAACGUACGACCUAGAGCAACUGGUGCAACAACUUACUAGUAUUCCUGACCGUCUUGAAAAUAUGCCCAACAUUUUUUUUACCUUUUCCUGACCUCUAAUCCUUCUGCUUAUGCUGUCACCCUCUCUUCUCCGUUGGGCUCCUCCGAUCUGUAUCUUGUCCUAUCGCUCCAAUCCCUCCUCAGGAUCCCCUAAGCGGAGGUGCCUCUGGCGUUUUGCCUGCGCUAGUUGGGGGGACCUGAGGAGGUAUUUUGCUGAUUUUUCCUUGGAAUGACUACUGCUUUUGUGUCAGAGACCCGCCUUUGUGUGCCGAACGCAUAACAGAGUUAAACCAAAGUUAAACCAAACUUCUUGUCCUAUUCACUCCUACGCUGAUGAUACCACCCUGCAUUUUUCCAAGUCUUUUCAUAGAUGUCCAACACUUCAGGAAGAAAUCAUUUCACGCAGGGAAGCCACAGAAUACUUAACUUCUGCUCUUUCUAAAAUUUCUGAUUGGGGCAGAGCAAACUUGGUAUUGUUCAGUGCCUCAAAAACUCAAUUCCUCCAUUUUAUCAACUCGACACAACCUUCCAGACAACUAUCCCCUCUUCUUCAAUGACACUCAACUGUCCCCCCUCUUCUACACUGAACAUCCUUGGUCUGUUCUUUACAUACAUUCUAAACUGGAAACUUCACAUCUUAUCUCUAGCUAAAACAGCUUCUAUGAAGUUAGGCAUUCUGAGAUGUCUCCGCCAGUUUUUCUCACCCCCCCAACUGCUAACUCUGUACAAGGGCCUUAUCCGUCCAUGUAUGGAGUAUGCUUCACAUGUCUGGGGGAGUUCCACUCAUACCGCUCUUCUAGACAGGGUGGAAUCAAAACAUUUUCGUCUCAUCAACUCCUCUCCUCUAACUGACUGUCUUCAGCCUCUCUCUUAUCGCUGCAAUGUUGCAUCUCUAGCUGUCUUUUACCGCUAUUUUCAUGCUAACUGCUCUUCUUAUCUUGCUAACUGCUUUCUUCCUCUCCUCCCGCGGCCUUGCUGCACAAGACUCUUCUUUCUCUCACCCCUAUUCUGUUCACCUCUCUAAUGCAGGAGUUAACCAGUAUUCUCGAUCAUUCAUCCCUUUCUCUGAUAAACCAUGGAACUCCCUGCCUGCUUCUGUAUUUCCACCUUCUUAUGACUUGAAUUCCUUCAAGAGGGAGGUUUCAAGACACUUCAGUUUUUGGCUACCGCUUUGGACCCUUUUCUGGGACUGGCAUGUUUUUUUUUCCUUGGCCAGUGUCCCUCCUACAUAAAAAAAAAAUUAUAUCAGUUUCCCAUAACUAUAAUUUCGACAAAUAGCAAUUAACCACUUAACGCUGAGACGGAGAGAGAGAGAGAGAGAGAGAGAGAGAGAGAGAGAGAGAGAGAGAGAGAGAGAGAGAGAGAGAGAGAGAGAGAGAGAGAGAGAAAUUCCGUCUCACUUCUACCAAAAAAAAAAAAAAUGAAAAUAAAAACAAAAUAAACUACACCACCAUCAUCAUCUGUUUCAAAGCGAGACCGUUACCUAGAAAAACACUCAUGGGAUAGAACCCCUGGAAAAUAAGUAUCUGGAGGUGUCUGGCAACUAACUUCUACUCCCUACUGCUUGUCCCCCCUCUCGCUCACUCUCACCGCCUGGCUUCCCUUUCACUCGAUACCGGCUUGGCAAAUCUCCCCGCUCCACUCUCGUCCCAACCUCGGCAGUGACGUGAGGGACAAGGUGUGAUAAAGGUUGCAACGAACAAACGAUAAGAGAUGAGCAUUUCCUUCAGUAGCCGCACCCUGCUGGUGGUGCUGACUGCCUUCGCCAUCAUGAAUGCAGUGGCAGCAUUUAUGUGUUACACCAAGACCAUCGGUGAGGAUGACACCUCAGUGGCGUUUUGUAGCAGUAGCACCUGCUACUCUAAGGGUGGCAGUGUUGGAAACAGUAAAGACGCCAUGAAAGGUUGUUCUGAGGAGCCUCACGAGGAUGGUUGUAUGGAGACUGGCAUCCCUGGCAUUGCCUCUGCUCAUAUUUGCUACUGUUCCACACCACUCUGCAACUCAGCCUUCACACCCAGCAAUGUCCUGCCCCUGUUGGUGCUUCCUGCCAUGCUGCAGUAUUUCCUGUAAGAAGUAACACUGCUUCUGUCUUCUGGAAGAGGUGCUGCAGAGGUGGUGAGCUCUUGAUAAUGUGUUGGAAUAAGGAACACCAACUUCCAGACUAUACAAAUUUAAUGAGACCAGUUUUUUAUAACCAUACCCCUUUGGGAGUACAAAAAGGCAAUGUUCAAACCAAAAGAAAUUGUUACUUUGCUUGCAUUUUAAUAUGCUAAAAUGUAUCUAACUGAUUUAUAGCAAUGACUUCCAAUUUUUUUUUUUUUUUUUUUUUUUUUUUUUCUCUAAAGCUUUUGAGUCUGCUUUCAACAAGAAGGUUCAGGAACUUAUGAUAAAAUCUGGCAUAAUUCUUCAAUUUCCAAGGUUCAUACAGUUUCUCUCCAUCUCUUUGCCUUGAUCUCAAGUUUCUUUCCUGGCCUUCAUCACUGCAGUGAUAGACAGCCACUAAUCUGAACCUGUUAAUAGUGGUGCUCCACAAGGUGCUGUCUUAUCCACCAUAUUCCUAUUAUUCAUAAUUUAUAUGAAUGAAACUAUCCUAUCCAUUCCUACACUGUUGAUUAUACCCUGCAUAUCUCAUUAUCAUCAUCUAGACACAGCUCAUCAAGAACUAAACAUGUUACACAUAGAAUGCCUUUUAUUUUAGUUUGGGGUGUGGCAGACCUUGUAUUGUUCAGUGCCUUAAAAACUCAAUUACUUCAUCCACCCACUUGACACAGCCUUCCACACAAUGGUUCUGUCUAAUUCAGCGGCACUGAACUCUCCCUUCUCAACACAACUUAAUUGCACUGUCUUUUUAUAAGAAUCUCAGGUGGAAGUUUCAUCUUUUUUUAGAAGAGUUUCCAUGAAGAUAGGGGUUCUGUGUUGCCUGGAACUUUUCCUCAUCCCAGUUACUUAGUCCAUGCAAGGACAUUUUGCCCAUGUAUGAAGCACUGUUCCAACUGUGGAAGAUUCAACUCACAUAUCUCUUCUGAACAUGUGGAGUCUGAAGCCUUUCAUAUCAUCAAUUCCUUUCUUCUGACAGACUGUCUUGAUGCUCUCACCCAGUGUCACAAUGUUGCAUUGCUUUACUAUGUAAUACUGUAUUUACUGGUAUUCACUACAGUUACUACAGUUACUGUUCUGAACUUACUAGCUACAUGCCACCACACAUCCUGUGGCAAAAUGUUUCCCUUGGAUCUUCUUACUGGUUUCUAUUUUGGGAACACUAGUAUUAUUUGUUUUAAUUUUGUUUUUAUUUACUUUUUAUUCAUUUGUUUUAUAUUUUAUUUAUUUAUGUAUUUAUUUAUAUUUUUUUCAUUUUUUAUUAAUUAAUUAAUUUAUUUAUUUAUUUAUUAUUUUAUUUAUUUAUUUAUUAUUAUAUUUUUUUUUAUAUCCCAGUCUCCCCAAUACAUAAAAAGAUAAAUAAGUAAGCUCAUCAGAGGGACCCAUUCUCCAAAAGAUCAAGAAAAAGGGAUGUUGUUUUAGUUUGUGUUUGUUCAAGUAACCAAGUUAGAGUGUCAUUGAGCAGACCAAGGUAGUGAUGUGAAAUUAACAGUUGUAGCCUGGUGUCUAUAUAUCACCCAUUUUGGCAGAAGCUUUUGAGAAUCAUGAAAAAAUGUCUGGAAAUUUGAAAGUUGCUUAACAAUCCUUAAUUCAGUUUCAUGUGUGGAGUAUAUUCCUUGCAAUUUUUUUUAUUUUUUUAUUUUUUAGCUGUAGAAGGAAGGCUGUGCUGUGUGCUUUGUAAGCUACUUUAAGUCAUGGACAGCAGCAGGGUCACCUAGGUGUGGACAAUUGUACUCCUAAGUAGGAUGGAAAUUGAUAGGAUUAUAGAUUCAGGUGAGACUCAUUAGAACUAAUACUCAAAAUUAAAAAGUGACACUCAAGUUAGCAUGUAAAUUAGUGAAACAGAGGAGUUGAUGGUGGAGAGGCAUGGCAUGACAGAGUACACUUGUCUUCUGGCUGAUGUAAAAGUCCAUUCCCAGUGUAAGGCAGAGAUAAUAAGGAACUGCUGGUAAAGGUUUAGAAUUGAAGUUUGCUAUGUGGUAGGUUUCAACGGGGGAGACAGAUUCUGAAGUACAGUAGUAAGCUUCAGAGAUAAAGAAUCAAUUCUGUGUGUUUAUAUAUAUUUUGAUAUGAAAUUGUCUAGUUAUGAAUCUACUUUUUUGUCAGGAAAUGUUCAGAGACUUGCACGUUGUAAAGGUUGAUGUGACUAUUCAAGUCUGUAGAUUUUCUUAAUCAAGCUGCUUAUAUUUUGUACUUUUAGAUGUUUUACGCUUUGUGAUUGUAUGAUGAAGUUUCUCAUCAUAUUAAAUCUAAACUUUCA